rnacentral:rRNA from 1 species
GUACGGAAGGCAGCAGGUAGGGGAAUUAUUGCAACAAGUGGGCGACAACGCCUGAUGCACGCCAUCGCCGCGUGUAUGAAAAAGGCCUUCGGGUUGUAAAGUACUUUCAGUCGUGAGGAAGGUGUUAAGGUUAAUAACCUUAGCAAUUGACGUUAGCGACAGAAGAAGCACCGGCUAACUCCGUGCCAGCAGCCGCGGUAAUACGGAGGGUGCGAGCGUUAAUCGGAAUUACUGGGCGUAAAGGGCACGCAGGCGGUUAAUUAAGUUGGAUGUGAAAUCCCCGGGCUUAACCUGGGAAUGGCAUUCAAGACUGGUUAGCUAGAGUCUUGUAGAGGGGGUAGAAUUCCAUGUGUAGCGGUGAAAUGCGUAGAGAUGUGGAGGAAUACCGGUGGCGAAGGCGGCCCCUGGACAAAGACUGACGCUCAUGUGCGAAAGCGUGGGGAGCAAACAGGGAUUAGAUACC